ensembl:lncRNA
UAAAUAUUAAUUUUUAUUUAUUUAUUUAUUUUAUUUUUUUAAUUUUAAAUGCCAUUAUUUCUUAGGCUUAGAAAUGUUGCGUUAUUCAACAACCUGACGACCUCAAAUUCUUAUCAAUAUAAAAUGAAAUAAGUUUAUACUAUAAAACGGCAAGUAUGAGUAAUAAAUCAUUAAUAAGGGUGUAUCACAAGCAGCAUGAUCUUGUCUGAGGAAACCGGAAGCGCUGUUGUCUGCUGUGUGGCGUCACAGCAAUUUCCUCUUUAGCAAAAGGCAACAACGUCACAAUCUCAGCAACAGAGGGCGACAGAGAGCAACAAAUCAGUGCAGCAGUCCUACAGGUUUGAUUGCAGAUUAAUAAAUCGCAUAUUUUCAUGUAUCAACGCAGAACAAGGGCGAUAUAGAACUACAAACACUCUACAACUGCAUCACUAAUACAAUUUAGGUCUUCAGUUCAACUAACCUGACAUUCCAGUAACAAAAAAAAUUUAAAUAAAUAAAAAAAACCUAAAUGGAUGGAUGCUAUGACGAAAAGGCUAUUUUCUCGGCCAUAACGACUCGAGGGUUUCUAAGAAUAACCCUUCCUAGUUUCUAUAUUUGGAAAUGACUUCUAGGAAAAUAGAAACUGCCAGCUUCAUAUUCAGUUCCACGUGUUUAACUUCGCUCCCUUUUAAAGCAUAAGAAAAGCAUCGAGCAGCACGUGAGCGAUUUUUCAUACUGCCACCCAUUGAUGAUCAUUAAUAGACCGGAGAAUGUCCGCGAGGAAUUGGCGUGUGUUGCUGGAAAUGGCAUCUCCCCCUGCACGGCCCCUGCUUUACCUAGUAGCGUGACCAUGAAGCAAUGCACGAGCAGAGAGAUCUCAACAUGCACAGAGUCAGUCUGCUGCUCAUCUCACCAGCGGGAGCGCGUACAGCGUGCACUUAAAGAAAAAAUAUCUGAUUCCCAUCAGCCACAUGCUUCUUUCAACCCCACAGCGCGUCUUUAUUCAUUCGGGCUUCCAGCAACCAGCUGCACUUCAUGGCGAUAGAUAAAGAAAACCCCAUGCGCAAGGAGUUAAUAAGUCAAACAAAGGCAUAUGACUUCCAUAACUUCAUCGCUCAUUAACCGCUGAUGGUAGGACACAAUUGAGCGAGUGUUUGUGGAACUUGCCCUAGAUAUUCAGAUCUCAGUCCUUGGCUCUGGCUGUUGGGCAGAUCUUCUCCUGUUUCAGAUAUCUUCACCCUGCCUGACAACAGACCGUCAGGAGCUUCACAUGAGAGUCCCGUGUAAGGAGUGAACUAUGGGAGAGAAAGGCCAGUUAUGUCCAUUUAAAUCCCUUAACAAGCACCACAGCAAACAAAAGACAGAUUAGCAUGAUUUACCAUGACCGUAUUAUUAAAUUACCUCAUCUACACAUGAGCCAACAAUUGAGUUACUUUUAUAGAUGUGUGCAGACGGUAUUAUGCAGGCACUGUGUAGGCUAUUCUUUGUUCAUUAAUGGUUUGGUAAACCACAUUUUGUAAGGUCUUGAAUAGAGCUAGCACUGGUUAGACCCAAAAAUUGCACAUUCAGAGGUAUCUUUCAAAACCAAUAUUCCCUAUUAGCAUUAAAGCUAUGCAUGCUAGACAUUGUCUGGGUUUGACUGGGAUGGGAUCUCGUUUAAAAAGCAAUGCAUUUAUAAAAUAUAUUGAUUAUAUUAUGUUGUAUAUUUUAAAAUAACGCUGAUAACUCUCAAACAAUAAAGUGAAAACGAUCAAAAUCCUAUUGUUGUCUGUGGUUCGUGUGUAAAUAUGAACUGAUGGUAUAAUGCCACCUAGUGGUAUAUUUCAUGCAACCAGCAGCCCGAUGUCUAGUUUCAUUCAGCCCAUACAUUCAUAGAAAAGACAACAAGCUCUAUUAAUGAACCUGAUGUCAUUUCUGUGUAAUGCUGGGAAUGAGAGCGAGGACAAGCAUUAGACCUAGAGAAAGGACGAACACCAUUUAUGAGGAGACUUUUAAGGACACAAGGUGGGUGUGAGCUAGAUUUCCUCUUUGGCCUAGAAAAGACAACACAAUCUUUGCCAGCUUCAGAAUUCCCAUCAUUCCCUGGAUAUUAACACAUUCAUUUUAGGUAAAGGAAAUUGCACACCAGACCAGCUAUGGUCACAUUCAAAGCACCAGAAUCAGUGUAAUACCUCUUUAAUGUUACACAGAAAUUCUUCUAGGCAUAAACUGUGUAUUAAAACUUACUAUCUUUCCUUUGGGACUUAAAAAGUAAUAAGAGUUGAAAGGUAUUCAGAUUAAGUGUAUGACGGGGUAUUUAAAAGUUAAUUCAGCAGUUCUAAACCAUUGUCCACACCAAUGUUCAAAAGACAACCAACUUUUUUGUUGUUUGUGAUUUACUGGAUAAGGAUUUCUAAAAAAUAUUAUUUCUUGUUUUAAGUCAUUUUAUGUCAUAAAGCAACUGUUUGUAGUUUUUGCGAUGUUGGAGCCCCCUACAGUUGAGUAAGAGGAAAUCCCUGUCGUAAAUACACCACUGUCGUAAUUAGAGUGGAUUGCUUUACGCUUCCGUGAAUCAUUUCACUCUUUUUGUGUCUCCAUUCUCCAAACUUAUACUUUGAAAGAUGUUUGGGGCAGAGCAGGGGAAGGAUCAGAAGCCAUUCGCCUUAUUAUAAGUAAAUCAUGAGAAUUAUUUUGAAACUGGUAGCCUGCUUCAAGGUUUUAAAAAAAAUUAAAAAAUUACAUACAAGUUGCUUUAAGCACACCAUGGAAGUGUGAGGCCCCCUACUGGGCCCUGGCCCCUGGUUAAGUGUGAAGUUAAAGUGCACAAUCAAUAUAAAAUCUGUGAUCUUUAUUCAUUCAUUCAAUCAUUCAUUGAUCCGUCCAUCUUAGGGCUAUAGUUUGAUGUUUGAUAAAAUUUAGAGAUUUUAAAAUAAACGUAUUAUAAUUUUUUUUUUAAAUAAACAAUCAUUUUUAUUUUUAUUUAUUUGCUGUUUACUGAGUGAAAUUCUGAAAAGCUAAAUUAAAGCCAUUUAAUGGUCUAUUGAAAGAUUAUGCAAUUUUUAGAUGGUGAGAAUUUAAGAUUCAAUUACAUUGAAUCUGCCUCAGAUGCAAUUAAGAGCUUCUCUGCCUGUAAAGGUGUGAACCAAAUGGUCCAUACAAUCCAAACAUCAAUGGUGUUCCUCAGUAAGUUCCAAUCCUUUACGUCUUGCAGCUAUUUUGUGUAUUUUAGCUCUCAGUGAUAUAGCAGCAACAUUCACAAAUGUUUACAGAAGCGGGAACCCAGUGUGCCUGUAGCUUUCUCUGUUUCUAUUUUAUCACGUGAUAGAAAGUCUACGGCCUUCUCAAGCAGUACGGCUGACCCAUCUAAUCUGCGGCCAUCAUACAAAGAUUACUGUAAAGACACAAAGUAGUGCCAUCAAGUUAGCAUUUUGAAACAUUCGCUUACUAAAAAAUAAAUAAUUUCUGAUCAAUGACUUAAUAACUGUGCACAAACAACCUGGAUUUUAUGUUUCUAAAUGAAACAUGGCUAGAAGACAGCUGCAGUGCAACAGUCCUCAAUGAAGCAGCCCCUCCUAACUGUAGAUAACUGAUGAUGUGUCAUCCAGUUAGUUAUAACAUACUUAAGUUAGGUUUAUGGAAGCUAUGUUCAUAUAUGGUAUUUCCCUGUGUUGAGGUGCCCCCUGGGAAAGAGGGCGGGGUGUUCUGGCAGGUGAUGUACUUGCUUCGUGGUGUUUGCGGGCUCUCCAUGUUGGCUAAUAAAAGAGUCAUUCUGAAAGAUAUAAACGUCUCCAUCUCUAUAACAAAGUACAUGGUGUCAGAAGUUAAAAUC